CCUUAAAGCGCUGGGAUACCUCCGGGAAACCGGGGCUAAUACCGGAUGGUUGUUUGAACCGCAUGGUUCAAACAUAAAAGGUGGGUUUUCGGCUACCACUUACAGAUGGACCCGCGGCGCAUUAGCUAGUUGGUGAGGUAACGGCUCACCAAGGCAACGAUGCGUAGCCGACCUGAGAGGGUGAUCGGCCACACUGGGACUGAGACACGGCCCAGACUCCUACGGGAGGCAGCAGUAGGGAAUCUUCCGCAAUGGACGAAAGUCUGACGGAGCAACGCCGCGUGAGUGAUGAAGGUUUUCGGAUCGUAAAGCUCUGUUGUUAGGGAAGAACAAGUACCGUUCGAAUAGGGCGGUACCUUGACGGUACCUAACCAGAAAGCCACGGCUAACUACGUGCCAGCAGCCGCGGUAAUACGUAGGUGGCAAGCGUUGUCCGGAAUUAUUGGGCGUAAAGGGCUCGCAGGCGGUUUCUUAAGUCUGAUGUGAAAGCCCCCGGCUCAACCGGGGAGGGUCAUUGGAAACUGGGGAACUUGAGUGCAGAAGAGGAGAGUGGAAUUCCACGUGUAGCGGUGAAAUGCGUAGAGAUGUGGAGGAACACCAGUGGCGAAGGCGACUCUCUGGUCUGUAACUGACGCUGAGGAGCGAAAGCGUGGGGAGCGAACAGGAUUAGAUACCCUGGUAGUCCACGCCGUAAACGAUGAGUGCUAAGUGUUAGGGGGUUUCCGCCCCUUAGUGCUGCAGCUAACGCAUUAAGCACUCCGCCUGGGGAGUACGGUCGCAAGACUGAAACUCAAAGGAAUUGACGGGGGCCCGCACAAGCGGUGGAGCAUGUGGUUUAAUUCGAAGCAACGCGAAGAACCUUACCAGGUCUUGACAUCCUCUGACAAUCCUAGAGAUAGGACGUCCCCUUCGGGGGCAGAGUGACAGGUGGUGCAUGGUUGUCGUCAGCUCGUGUCGUGAGAUGUUGGGUUAAGUCCCGCAACGAGCGCAACCCUUGAUCUUAGUUGCCAGCAUUCAGUUGGGCACUCUAAGGUGACUGCCGGUGACAAACCGGAGGAAGGUGGGGAUGACGUCAAAUCAUCAUGCCCCUUAUGACCUGGGCUACACACGUGCUACAAUGGGCAGAACAAAGGGCAGCAAAACCCGAGAGGUUAACCCAAUCCCCCAAAUCCUGUUCUCAAUUCGGGAUUCCAGUCUUGAAUCU
rnacentral:rRNA from 2 species